UCUCCCAACAUUCAAAGGCUAUACCCACAAAAUUUACCAUUCCUGCAAUAUAUAUUACAGAUGUGGACAGCACACCUCAAAACAGUACAGAAUCAGAACACACUGUAGAUGCUGUUAAAAUCAAAACUCAAGCGAAUGCAGUAACAUCUAUUUUGACAAACAGCAACACUGUCAGUCAAAUAAGUAAUAUAUCUGAAUGCACAGACACCACGAACAAAACCACAGCUGUUUUGGAAUCUGAAGGUCUGCGUGAUGAAAAGUUUGAUCUUUCCCAUUGUUCACAUCCCUCUGAAAUCAACAAGCCUGAUCAACAGCUACUAAGUCAAGAAAACCUGAUUCAAGGACCUGAAUCAUCAAGUCAUUGUGUCACUGAGAAUGUUGCAUCAGACGUAAUUAGAUUAAAAGAGGUCACUAUGCAACGUCACAAUGCUGACAAAAGUAUAAAGGAAAACAAAGCUGACUUAACUGAAAUUAGUCAUUUUACAAAAACAGAUCUUAAUCUGAAAAAGGAUUCAGACUUAAUAAAACAAUUGAAGUUGGCUGCAUUGGACCUUGAGAGGUGAAAUCAAAGCUCCACCAGAGCCAAGAGAAAUGCUGCACCACAUAUAAAUGCGAAUGAUGGUGAGGAAGUAAAUUCUGCAGUGAUACAGCAUGCUACCUGUAAGUUAACAAUUCCACUGAAGACUACAGACAAGGUCUUCAACACCACUGCUGCCCACAGUGAGCUUAAGACCGAUCAAAAGAAUACAUUCCCCAGGACUACAAUAGAGAAGAGUGAAACUGGAAUGCCCGUAUGUCUGGAAGAAGCAAACAGAGAUUCACAUCAGGGGGACAAAUUAUCUUUGAAAACACAACCUGCAUCUCCAUUACAAUCAGUCAGUAACUCACAAUCGAAGACUUCAUUGGAAACACACUUCCCUCAUCUUACCCGGAGGAUUGUCCAGGAUGACCUCACCAAACCUACAGGGAAUAAGAAUGUUAAGCUCAAAUCAACAGAGAAAAACAAAGAAAAGCAAUUCAAAGUUCCUCAUGUCACCCAUAAAAUCCGACCAGAGGUGUUUGAUGCUUCUUGA
ensembl:lncRNA